rnacentral:rRNA from 1 species
CAGAGGGUGCAAGCGUUGUUCGGAAUCACUGGGCGUAAAGCGCGCGCAGGCGGAUGGUUGCGUCCGGAGUGAAAUUUCGCCGCUCAACGGCGAAGCUGCUUUGGAUACGGACCGUCUAGGGACCGGUAGAGGCUGGUAGAAUUGCAGGUGUAGCGGUGGAAUGCGUAGAGAUCUGCAAGAAUACCCGUGGCGAAGGCGGCCAGCUGGGCCGGAUCCGACGCUGUAGGCGCGAAAGCGUGGGGAGCAAACAGGAUUAGAUACCCUGGUAGUCCACGCCGUAAACGAUGGGCACUAGGUGCCGGGGGGAGCGACCCCCUCGGUGCCGCAGCUAACGCGAUAAGUGCCCCGCCUGGGGAGUACGGCCGCAAGGCUG